ACUGUUCCAGUUAUGAACAAUACAUGCGUAAAGACAUAAAGCUUGUCUAGCAGUCAGGGCUGCAUGUCCAAUCCAAAACGACAGGUUCAAUCCACCAAGCCGAGUAGUAAUAUCAUGCACCAACACUAACAAAUACUUAAAGAGGGGGCAAAGAGAAUCCAAAACACAUAUUGACGAGUCCUGUGAUGUGAGGAUCAUGCCUCUUUACAGUCAUCCUUUUCCUCUUCCUCUUCCUCAUUAUUCUCCUGUAUAGUCCUCCCUCUCUUUCUCAAGUAUAGAGCGGAAGGUUGUUAAGAACCAAAUAAGGAGAUGAUAGAGCUGC
rnacentral:misc_RNA from 1 species